rnacentral:rRNA from 1 species
UGCCCUAGUAACGGCGAGUGAAGCGGCAACAGCUCAAAUUUGAAAUCUGGCUCUCGGGCCCGAGUUGUAAUUUGUAGAGGAUGCUUUUGAUGCGGUGCCUUCCGAGUUCCCUGGAACGGGACGCCAUAGAGGGUGAGAGCCCCGUCUGGUUGGAUGCCAAAUCUCUGUAAAGCUCCUUCGACGAGUCGAGUAGUUUGGGAAUGCUGCUCUAAAUGGGAGGUAUAUGUCUUCUAAAGCUAAAUACCGGCCAGAGACCGAUAGCGCACAAGUAGAGUGAUCGAAAGAUGAAAAGCACUUUGAAAAGAGAGUUAAAAAGUACGUGAAAUUGUUGAAAGGGAAGCGUUUAUGACCAGACUUGGGCUUGGUUAAUCAUCUGGGGUUCUCCCCAGUGCACUUUUCCAGUCCAGGCCAGCAUCAGUUUUCGCCGGGGGAUAAAGGCUUCGGGAAUGUGGCUCCCUCCGGGGAGUGUUAUAGCCCGUUGCGUAAUACCCUGGCGGAGACUGAGGUUCGCGCUUCUGCAAGGAUGCUGGCGUAAUG